rnacentral:rRNA from 1 species
GACGAACGCUGGCGGCGUGCUUAACACAUGCAAGUCGAACGGAAAGGCCCUGCUUUUGUGGGGUGCUCGAGUGGCGAACGGGUGAGUAACACGUGAGUAACCUGCCCUUGACUUUGGGAUAACUUCAGGAAACUGGGGCUAAUACCGGAUAGGAGCUCCUGCUGCAUGGUGGGGGUUGGAAAGUUUCGGCGGUUGGGGAUGGACUCGCGGCUUAUCAGCUUGUUGGUGGGGUAGUGGCUUACCAAGGCUUUGACGGGUAGCCGGCCUGAGAGGGUGACCGGCCACAUUGGGACUGAGAUACGCCCCAGACUCCUACGGGAGGCAGCAGUGGGGAAUAUUGCAUGAUGGGCGGAAGCCUGAUGCAGCAACGCCGCGUGCGGGAGGACGGCGUUCGUGUUGUGAACCGCUUUCGCCUGUGACGAAGCGUGAGUGACGGUAAUGGGUAAAGGAGCAACGGCUAACUACGUG